GACGAACGCUGGCGGCGUGCCUAAUACAUGCAAGUAGAACGCUGAAGAGAGGAGCUUGCUCUUCUUGGAUGAGUUGCGAACGGGUGAGUAACGCGUAGGUAACCUGCCUGGUAGCGGGGGAUAACUAUUGGAAACGAUAGCUAAUACCGCAUAAGAGUAGAUAUCGCAUGACAUUUGCUUAAAGGGUGCAAUUGCAUCACUACCAGAUGGACCUGCGUUGUAUUAGCUAGUUGGUGAGGUAACGGCUCACCAAGGCAACGAUACAUAGCCGACCUGAGAGGGUGAUCGGCCACACUGGGACUGAGACACGGCCCAGACUCCUACGGGAGGCAGCAGUAGGGAAUCUUCGGCAAUGGACGGAAGUCUGACCGAGCAACGCCGCGUGAGUGAAGAAGGUUUUCGGAUCGUAAAGCUCUGUUGUAAGAGAAGAACGAGUGUGAGAGUGGAAAGUUCACACUGUGACGGUAUCUUACCAGAAAGGGACGGCUAACUACGUGCCAGCAGCCGCGGUAAUACGUAGGUCCCGAGCGUUGUCCGGAUUUAUUGGGCGUAAAGCGAGCGCAGGCGGUUAGAUAAGUCUGAAGUUAAAGGCUGUGGCUUAACCAUAGUACGCUUUGGAAACUGUUUAACUUGAGUGCAAGAGGGGAGAGUGGAAUUCCAUGUGUAGCGGUGAAAUGCGUAGAUAUAUGGAGGAACACCGGUGGCGAAAGCGGCUCUCUGGCUUGUAACUGACGCUGAGGCUCGAAAGCGUGGGGAGCAAACAGG
rnacentral:rRNA from 1 species